rnacentral:rRNA from 1 species
GACGAACCACACGAACGUUAUUCGGAAUUACUGGGCUUAAAGGGUGCGUAGGCUGUGCAGCAAGUUAGGUGUGAAAUCCCCCGGCUCAACCGGGGAAUUGCGCUUAAAACUACUGUGCUAGAGGAAUACAGAGGUAAGCGGAACUUCGGGUGGAGCGGUGAAAUGCGUUGAUAUCCGAAGGAACACCGGUGGCGAAAGCGGCUUACUGGGUAUUUUCUGACGCUGAUGCACGAAAGCUAGGGGAGCAAACGGG